CCUACGGGAGGCAGCAGUGGGGAAUUUUGGACAAUGGGCGAAAGCCUGAUCCAGCCAUGCCGCGUGAGUGAAGAAGGCCUUCGGGUUGUAAAGCUCUUUCAGGCUGGGAAUGAAAUCAGCACAGGCUAAUACUCUGUGUGGAUGACGGUACCAGCACAAGAAGCACCGGCUAACUACGUG
rnacentral:rRNA from 1 species